rnacentral:tRNA from 1 species
GUCAGCGUGGCUCAGUGGAAAGAGCCCGGGCUUGGGAGUCAGAGGUCACGGGUUCGAAUCCCGGCUCUGCCA